UUAGAGUUGCGCGGUUCAGGUGUCCCGAAGGCUCAUGGCCCGACGGAUGAAACGGGAAGCCGGUGCGUGGUGUGCGAACGCACUGCAAGGCCGGCGCUGCCCCCGCAACGGUAAGCGAGAUCCACGAACGGCGGAUGCCACUGUGCGCAGCACGGGAAGGCGCCGUUCACGGCCUGCGGAACACCGCAGGCCACUCGUCAGCCCGGAGACCGGCCCGAACGAUUCCUGGUGGC
rnacentral:ncRNA from 20 species